CCCUUAGAUGUUCUGGGCGGCCCGCGCACUACAAUGGCGCUUUCAGCGAGUUCCUAUGUUGAAUUUUCCUGGGUAUUCUUGGAAGCGGCGUCUUGACUUGGGAUAGAUCCUUGUAAUUGUUGGUUUUGAACGAGGAAUUCCUUGUAAUCGUGGUUGAUCAGCUCGCGUUGAAUACGUCCCUGCCCUUUGUACACACCGCCCGUCGCUCCUACCGAUGAAUCGUCCGGUGAAGUUCACAGAGUGGCGGUUCGUGGAGUUGCUCGCGAAGUGAAAUGGACCUCACGAUUUAGAGGAAGGAGAAGUCGUAACA
rnacentral:rRNA from 1 species